UAAUAGUGUAUAUUAAAGUUGUUGCAGUUAAAAAGCUCGUAGUUGAAUGUUGGUGUCGAACGAGCGGUCAGCUUCGGCUGUACUGCUCUCUCGACUCCUUCCUUCUGUGGACUACGUCGCACUUUACUGUGUGGCGCUAGGACGCAGAUCGUUUACUGUGAAAAAAUUAGAGUGUUCAAAGCAGGCCGUACGCUUGAAUACAUUAGCAUGGAAUAAUGGAAUAGGACGUCGGGCCUAUUUUGUUGGUUCUAGGACCGUCGUAAUGAUUAAUAGGGACAGUUGGGGCCGUUUAUAUUCCGUAGUCAGAGGUGAAAUUCUUGGAUUUACGGAAGAUAAACUACUGCGAAAGCAUUCAGCAAGGAUGUUUUCGUUAA
rnacentral:rRNA from 1 species